GGUUAUGGGGUGGCUGUUUUUCUACGUGGACCAAGCAGGGUCCCAGUUCAAGUUUCUGCUGCCUAUCUGAUAAUCUUGAGGUAUUUAUGAAGGACUCCUUUGAAAGUUCUCUACUGAGUUUCCUUAAGGAAUUGGAAUAUUAUUCAGUCCAGGUUUAAGUCCUUCAGCAUCUGACAUUCUCCUGGCAACUGUAAUUGAAUCAAUGAUGACUCAUCUGAGAUGAGCAAGUUGGUCCAGUCAGACCAAACAAAAGACAUUCUAUAAUCAGGGGAGAAGUCUUCUCUAUAUCUCUCUUAUAUGAGCAAAUUUAAUGACCUCCACCAUCUCUAAGAACAAGCAGCUAUUUCUGUAGAGAAAGAUCAUCUUUGGAUAACAAUACAUGAUUUUAGGCUCUAAAAGUUAAAACGUGUUUGUAACGUUGAUAUUAUGCAGAGGUCUUGACAGAACUUGGCAGUCUCUGAGGCUACAGAGAAGUGUGAAAAAGAGCAUAGAGAUUUCAGAAGGAGGCAGAUUCAGUCAGACGUACUGAAUCCCGUUUGAUCUCAACUCAGGCACACUCCAGAUGGAC
rnacentral:lncRNA from 10 species